CAGUCGUACCGACGAGAAAUCAACUUAUCGUGUGCGAACUUGUGGGCGUGCGUGAGUUUCGGCCUCGCUGUUUGCAUGUUUGUGCGCUUUGGGUGUACUUUUUCGUAUGGUAGGCCAACGUCAGUUUCGAUUAUCAUAAAAUGACCGGCGGAAUGUAGCUUCGAUUUCGAUUGAAGUGUUAUAGCCUUCGGCAGAUGUGAUGAUCGGGAUUGAGGAUUGCAACGGAUACCCUUCGGGGCUACCUGUCUGGUCUCUGAUCGUUGCUUUGGUGCCGAAAGCGUGCUUACGGUUAUCAAAGUCGAUGGUCAAUAGGUUAGAACGGGUUAAA
rnacentral:rRNA from 1 species